AACAUCGCCUCUUGUUAGCAUAAGAGGUCCAGCCUGCCCAGUGACUUCUGUUCAACGGCCGCGGUAUCCUAACCGUGCGAAGGUAGCGUAAUCACUUGUCUUCUAAAUAGAGACUCGUAUGAAAGGCAUCACGAGGGUCAAACUGUCUCCUUUCUCUAAUCAGUGAAACUAAUCUCCCCGUGAAAAAGCAGGAAUAAUACUAUAAGACGAGAAGACCCUAUGGAGCUUUAAACUUAACAGCACUUACUUUAACCAAACUAAUCAUAUUACACACCUUGCUGUGAGUUUUAGGUUGGGGUGACCACGGAGAAAAGCCAAUCCUCCUUAAUGAACUAGAAUUCAUUCUUAAAUAAAAAGCCACAACUUAAUAUAUCAAUAUUUUGACAUUUAUUGACCCAAUAUUUUGAUCAAUGAACCAAGUUACCCUAGGGAUAACAGCGCCAUCCAUUUUGAGAGUUCCUAUCGACAAGUGGGCUUACGACCUCGAUGUUGGAUCAGGGUGCCCAAGUGGUGUAGCCGCUACUAAUGGUUCGUUUGUUCAACGAUUAAAACCCCACGUGA
rnacentral:rRNA from 1 species